CCCUUAGAUGUUCUGGGCCGCACCCGCGCUACACUGAUGCAUUCAACGAGCCUAUCCUUGACCGACAGGUCCGGGUAAUCUUUGAAUCUGCAUCGUGACGGGGAUAGAUUAUUGCAAUUAUUAAUCUUCAACGAGGAAUGCCUAGUAGGCGCAAGUCAUCAGCUUGCGUCGAUUACGUCCCUGCCCUUUGUACACACCGCCCGUCGCUCCUACCGAUUGGGUGUGCUGGUGAAAUGUUCGGAUCGGCCGUUUGUCGCGGUUUCCGCGUCAUGUGGCUGAGAAGUUCAUUAAACCCUCCCACCUAGAGGAAGGAGAAGUCGUAACA
rnacentral:rRNA from 1 species